rnacentral:rRNA from 1 species
UACGGUGGGGGCAAGCGUUGUUCGGAAUUACUGGGCGUAAAGGGCGCGUAGGUGGCCCUCUAAGUCAGACGUGAAAUCCCCCGGCUUAACCUGGGAACUGCGUCUGAUACUGGAGGGCUUGAGUAUGGGAGAGGGAUGUAGAAUUCCAGGUGUAGCGGUGAAAUGCGUAGAUAUCUGGAGGAAUACCAGUGGCGAAGGCGGCGACCUGGUCAGAUACUGACGCUGAGGUGCGAAAGCGUGGGGAGCAAGCAGG